rnacentral:rRNA from 1 species
CCUACGGGAGGCAGCAGUAGGGAAUCUUCCGCAAUGGNCNAAAGUCUGACGGAGCAACGCCGCGUGAGCGAAGAAGGUCUUCGGAUCGUAAAGCUCUGUUGUUAGGGAAGAACAAGUACCGUUCAAAUAGGGCGGUACCUUGACAGUACCUAACCAGAAAGCCACGGCUAACUACGUGCCAGCAGCCGCGGUAAUACGUAGGUGGCAAGCGUUAUCCGGAAUUAUUGGGCGUAAAGCGCGCGCAGGCGGUCCUUUAAGUCUGAUGUGAAAGCCCACGGCUCAACCGUGGAGGGUCAUUGGAAACUGGGGGACUUGAGUGCAGAAGAGGAGAGCGGAAUUCCACGUGUAGCGGUGAAAUGCGUAGAGAUGUGGAGGAACACCAGUGGCGAAGGCGGCUCUCUGGUCUGUAACUGACGCUGANGCGCGAAAGCGUGGGGAGCGAACAGGAUUAGAUACCCUGGUAGUCCACGCCGUAAACGAUGAGUGCUAAGUGUUAGAGGGCUUCCGCCCUUUAGUGCUGCAGCNAACGCAUUAAGCACUCCGCCUGGGGAGUACGGUCNCAAGACUGAAACUCAAAUGAAUUGACGGGG